ensembl:lncRNA
CCCAGUUCAUUGACAGUUCCUGCCUGAAUAUUUUAAUGCACAACAGUGUUUAAAGAGAAUGGUGCAACAAAGAAACAUCCAGUCAACGGCAGUCCUGUGGGUGAAAACAGCUUAUUAAUGAGAGGUCGAAGGAGAAUGGCAACAAUUUUGCAAGCUAGCAGGCGGGCCACAAACAGACAAAUAAUGGCGCAAAGCGGCAUCUCGGAACUCACAUCUCGACGAUCCUUAUCAAGAACGGGCAAUUGCAGCAGACAACCACACCGGGUUCCAAUCCUAUCAGCUAAAAACAAGAAGAAGCGCAUCCUGUGGGCACGCGAUCACCAACUCUGGACAAUUAAGGAGUGGAAAUACAUUGCCUGGAAUGACAGCGAGUCCAAUUUACUUGAGUGGCCUGUACAGUCCACAGACCUCAACCCAAUUGAGCAGCUUUGGGAUGAGAUGGAACCGCCGUCCAAUCUGGUAGAAACUGUGUGAUGCCAUCGUGUCAGCAUGGACCAUCAUCCCUGUGGAAUGCUUCCAACACCUUGUAGAAUGACCCCAAAGAAUUCAGGCUGCUCUGGAGGAAAAGGGGGUCCAACCCAGUACUAGAAAGGUGUACAUAAUAAAUUGUAUUUUAAAAUGCGAGUGAUAAGACAGAACAAAUUAAUUAGAGGAAAUGUUAUGGCUACCAAUGCAAGACUCCGUAUUGUUGUACAGUUCACAAUCUAAAACAACCCCCUCACACUUUGAAGCACAAGUCAUCUCCACAUCAAAUCAAAUCAAGCUUUAUUUGUCACAUGCUUGAAAUGCUUACUUACAAGCCCUUAACUAACAAUGCAGUUCAAGAAAGAGUUAAGAAAAUCUUUACCAAAUAAACUAAAGUUUAAAAAAAAUGUAAGUAAAAAAAUAAAAAAAUAACAAUAACAAGGAUGUAUACAGGGGGUACCGUUACCGAGUUAAUGUGUGAGGGUACAGGUUAACGAGGUCAUUUGUACAUGUAGGUAGGGGUAAAGUGACUAUGGAUAGAUAAUACAGUGAGUAGCAGCAGUGUAAAACUUUUUCCAUUCUGCUACCGCUUGUCAUGUGGUAGCAGAGAGAACAGUAUAUGACUUGGGUGACUGGAGUCACCGGCUUUCUAGCCAAUCGACGCUCCAUUUUUCAUAUGUCCAUUUGUUUUGUCUUGUUCCAUACACACCUGGUUUUCAUUCCCCAUUCAAUCUACAUGCAUUUAGCCCUCUGGUUCCCAUCAUGUCUUUGUGUGUAAUUGUUUCAUGUUCAUGUUUUAUUACGC